rnacentral:rRNA from 1 species
AUUGAACGCUGGCGGAAUGCUUUACACAUGCAAGUCGAGCGGCAGCGCGGGGCAACCUGGCGGCGAGCGGCGAACGGGUGAGUAAUACAUCGGAACGUACCCAGUUGUGGGGGAUAGCCCGGCGAAGGCCGGAUUAAUACCGCAUACGACCUGAGGGUGAAAGCGGGGGAUCGCAAGACCUCGCGCAGUUGGAGCGGCCGAUGGCGGAUUAGCUAGUUGGUAGGGUAAAGGCCUACCAAGGCGACGAUCCGUAGCGGGUCUGAGAGGACGACCCGCCACACGGGAACUGAGACACGGUCCAGACUCCUACGGGAGGCAGCAGUGGGGAAUUUUGGACAAUGGGGGCAACCCUGAUCCAGCCAUUCCGCGUGAGUGAAGAAGGCCUUCGGGUUGUAAAGCUCUUUCGGCAGGAACGAAACGGUCUGUGCUAAUACCACGGGCUAAUGACGGUACCUGAAGAAGAAGCACCGGCUAACUACGUGCCAGCCGCCGCCGUAA